GUCUUUUUGAAAUAUAAUUUAAAGUCUAAUCUGCCCACUGAUUAAGUAUUAAAGGGCUGCAGUAUUUUGACUGUACAAAGGUAGCAUAAUAAAUAGUCUUUUAAUUGGAGACUUGUAUGAAAGAUUUGAUGAAAUAUAAACUGUCUCUUAAAAAAUUAUAUAAUUUAAUUUUUUAGUUAAAAAGCUAAAAUAUUUUUAAAAGACGAGAAGACCCUAUAGAGUUUAAUAAUUUAUAUUUUUAAAAUUUUUUAUUAGUGUUUAAAUUAAAAAAGUAAAAAUUAUUUUAUUGGGGUGAUAGAAAAAUUUAAAAAACUUUUUUUAAAAAAUUUACAUUAAUAUAUGAAUAAAUGAUCCGUAAUUUACGAUUAAAAGAAAAAAUUACCUUAGGGAUAACAGCGUAAUUUUUUUUUUUAGUUCAAAUAAGAAAAAAAGUUUGCGACCUCGAUGUUGGAUUAAGAUAAAAUUUAAAUGCAAAAGUUUAAAAAUUUUGAUCUGUUCGAUCAUUAAAAUCUUACA
rnacentral:rRNA from 1 species